rnacentral:rRNA from 1 species
GAUGAACGCUGGCGGCGUGCUUAACACAUGCAAGUCGAACGAAGCACUUUAUUUGAUUUCCUUCGGGACUGAUUAUUUUGUGACUGAGUGGCGGACGGGUGAGUAACGCGUGGGUAACCUGCCUUGUACAGGGGGAUAACAGUUGGAAACGGCUGCUAAUACCGCAUAAGCGCACGGCAUCGCAUGAUGCAGUGUGAAAAACUCCGGUGGUAUAAGAUGGACCCGCGUUGGAUUAGCUAGUUGGUGAGGUAACGGCCCACCAAGGCGACGAUCCAUAGCCGACCUGAGAGGGUGACCGGCCACAUUGGGACUGAGACACGGCCCAAACUCCUACGGGAGGCAGCAGUGGGGAAUAUUGCACAAUGGGCGAAAGCCUGAUGCAGCGACGCCGCGUGAGCGAAGAAGUAUUUCGGUAUGUAAAGCUCUAUCAGCAGGGAAGAUAAUGA